UUUCCGUAGUCGGGAUGGAUAGCCAUCAGGUGCUGUACCUGUUCAGAGGAAGAUGGGACCCAACUCACUAGUGUUCUUGAUCAAUUGUUCCAUGUGGGUAGGCAUGGCACUAAAAUAUUUUUAAACUACCUCAAUGGACUGAUGGAGAUGCACCCCAUUGAUUGAUCGUUUUAGCAUUGCAAGAAAUGGGACUGCAAGGUGAACCUUGGGGUUGAAAUCUGUCCUGAAACAGGAAGGUGAAGUGGAACUAAAGUAUGUGUGGCCCCACCAUGCGUUCCUGGAUGAAGACCUGGGCUCCCUUCAGGGCUCCGGCCAGGUUCUGACAAAGUCUCUGUCGCUCCUCCUCACGCAGAACCUCGCUGUAGAAGGUCCCCGCCUGCCACACCCAAGCACACAGCACUUAGGUACCUCACGCACACACAGGUAUCGCACAACCACACACGGUGUAUAUCACACACACACACACACACACACACACACACACACACACACACACACACACACACACACACACACACACACACACACACACACACACACA